rnacentral:tRNA from 1 species
GGCGAGUUACCCAAGUGGCUGAAGGGGCGGGAUUGCUAAUCCUGUAGGGUGACGAAAGUUGCCGCGAGGGUUCAAAUCCCUCACUCGCCGCCA